AGAGUUUGAUCCUGGCUCAGGAUGAACGCUGGCUACAGGCUUAACACAUGCAAGUCGUGGGGAAACGGCAUUAUGUGCUUGCACAUUCUGGACGUCGACCGGCGCACGGGUGAGUAUCGCGUAUCCAACCUGCCCCUUACUUGGGGAUACCCCGUUGAAAGACGGCCUAAUACCCGAUGUGUUUCAUUGACGGCAUCCGAUAUGAAACAAAGGUUUUCCGGUAAGGGAUGGGGAUGCGUCUGAUUAGCUUGUUGGCGGGGCAACGGCCCACCAAGGCGACGAUCAGUAGGGGUUCUGAGAGGAAGGUCCCCCACAUUGGAACUGAGACACGGUCCAAACUCCUACGGGAGGCAGCAGUGAGGAAUAUUGGUCAAUGGGCGAGAGCCUGAACCAGCCAAGUAGCGUGCAGGAUGACGGCCCUAUGGGUUGUAAACUGCUUUUAUGCGGGGAUAAAGUGGCCCACGUGUGGGUUUUUGCAGGUACCGCAUGAAUAAGGACCGGCUAAUUCCGUGCCAGCAGCCGCGGUAAUACGGAAGGUCCGGGCGUUAUCCGGAUUUAUUGGGUUUAAAGGGAGCGUAGGCCGCCCCUUAAGCGUGUUGUGAAAUGCGGGUGCUCAACAUCCGACUUGCAGCGCGAACUGGGGGGCUUGAGUGCGCCGAAAGUAGGCGGAAUUCGUGGUGUAGCGGUGAAAUGCUUAGAUAUCACGAAGAACUCCGAUUGCGAAGGCAGCUUACUGUAGCGCAACUGACGCUGAUGCUCGAAAGCGUGGGUAUCGAACAGGAUUAGAUACCCUGGUAGUCCACGCGGUAAACGAUGGAUGCUCGUUGUCGGCCUUUGUGGUCGGUGACCAAGCGAAAGCGUUAAGCAUCCCACCUGGGGAGUACGCCGGCAACGGUGAAACUCAAAGGAAUUGACGGGGGCCCG
rnacentral:rRNA from 1 species